rnacentral:pre_miRNA from 13 species
UCGGCACUCACCCGGUGGGGAUAAAUCUCGCUGGGGCCUCCAAGUGUUUUAACUGAGUGAGUUACAGAGAAACGCCACACCCUGAGAUGAAUUCAGGAGUCCUUUGUUAG